rnacentral:rRNA from 1 species
AGAGUUUGAUCCUGGCUCAGAGCGAACGCUGGCGGCAGGCUUAAUACAUGCGAGUCGAGCGCCUGUAGCAAUACAGGAGCGGCAGACGGGAGAGUAACACGUGGGAACGUGCCCUUUGGUUCGGAACAACACAGGGAAACUUGUGCUAAUACCGGAUAAGCCCUUACGGGGAAAGAUUUAUCGCCAAAGGAUCGGCCCGCGUCUGAUUAGCUUGUUGGUGAGGUAAUGGCUCACCAAGGCGACGAUCAGUAGCUGGUCUGAGAGGAUGAUCAGCCUCAUUGGGACUGAGACACGGCCCAAACUCCUACGGGAGGCAGCAGUAGGGAAUAUUGGACAAUGGGCGCAAGCCUGAUCCAGCCAUGCCGCGUGAGUGAUGAAGGCCUUAGGGUUGUAAAGCUCUUUCGGCGGGGAAGAUAAUGACGGUACCCGCAUAAGAAGCCCCGGCUAACUUCGUGCCAGCAGCCGCGGUAAUUC